AGAGUUUGAUCCUGGCUCAGAUUGAACGCUGGCGGCAUGCCUUACACAUGCAAGUCGAACGGCAGCACGGGAGCAAUCCUGGUGGCGAGUGGCGAACGGGUGAGUAAUGCAUCGGAACGUGCCCAGUCGUGGGGGAUAACGCAGCGAAAGCUGUGCUAAUACCGCAUACGAUCUAUGGAUGAAAGCGGGGGAUCGAAAGACCUCGCGCGAUUGGAGCGGCCGAUGUCAGAUUAGCUAGUUGGUGGGGUAAAGGCCCACCAAGGCGACGAUCUGUAGCUGGUCUGAGAGGACGACCAGCCACACUGGGACUGAGACACGGCCCAGACUCCUACGGGAGGCAGCAGUGGGGAAUUUUGGACAAUGGGCGCAAGCCUGAUCCAGCAAUGCCGCGUGCAGGAUGAAGGCCUUCGGGUUGUAAACUGCUUUUGUACGGAGCGAAAAGGCUCUCUCUAAUACA
rnacentral:rRNA from 1 species